rnacentral:lncRNA from 1 species
ACAAACUUGGAUGGGAAAAUCAAUAACAAACAGAUACUGACAUGCUGCUGGGGAUGAAAGAGGACUUACACCAACUACUUGGGGAAAACCAAUAAUGCUCUACACUUAGGGCUUAUCGCUUUCAAACCAAUAUUGAUAUUCCUCUUAAUGAAAUCGAUUAUUUUAAUGUUUUUAUAUGUUUAAGAAAAUAUGAUUUUGCUUAAAAUUUUAAUUUCAAAAAUGAUCAUAAUAAAAUCUAAAUCUAUUUGGCUGAAUUAAACAAGAGUAGAAACAAUUG